UCUUACGGGAGGCAGCAGUGGGGAAUCUUGCGCAAUGGGCGAAAGCCUGACGCAGCGACGCCGCGUGAGUGAUGAAGGCCUUCGGGUUGUAAAGCUCUGUGGGGCGAGACGAAUAAGUGCAGCCUAAUACGUUGCAUGAUGACGGUAUCGCCUUAGCAAGCACCGGCUAACUCUGUGCCAGCAGCCGCGGUAAGACAGAGGGUGCAAACGUUGUUCGGAAUUACUGGGCGUAAAGCGAGUGUAGGCGGUCUGUAAAGUCAGGUGUGAAAGCCCCGGGCUCAACCCGGGAAGUGCACUUGAAACUCACAGGCUAGAGUAUGGGAGAGGUUGGUGGAAUUCUCGGUGUAGAGGUGAAAUUCGUAGAUAUCGAGAGGAACACCGGUGGCGAAGGCGGCCCUCUGGACGGAUACUGACGCUGAGACUC
rnacentral:rRNA from 1 species